GGAGCAUACAAGGGCCCACGGCAAAAAAAAACAAACAUUAAACAGAAACUUCAGCACAGCACAAAGCCAAUUCACUGUAGCUGAUUGUUGAAUUUAAGCUUUGUUAAAACAGUGGGCAGCACCAUUGGCUUUUUUGUUAAAAUUUUUAACAAAGGUAUAAAUAAAACACACUCCAGAGCAAGACAACAGAGCAACAGGACUUUUCCUGUUUAUUAUUCUUUUUUUUUU
rnacentral:misc_RNA from 1 species